AAGAAGUUUAUUUUCUCACAGUUCUGGAGGUUAGAAGUCUGAGAUGAGGAUAUCACCAGCAUGGUUAGGUUCUGGUGAGGACUCUCUGGCUUACAGCUGGCUGCUUUCUCACCAUGUCUUCACAUGGCCCAAAGAGACAGAACAAGCUCUCUGGUGUCUUUUCUUGUAAGGACAAUAAUCCCAUCACGAAGUCCCCAACCUCUUCACCUCAUUCAAACACACUUACCUUCCAAAAGGCCCAUCUCCCAAUACCACCACGUUGGAGGUUAGGGCUUCAACAUACGAGUUUUAAGGUGGCACAGUCAGUCUAUUAACUUCCUGUCCAUAUAUUAGUUAUGUAUUAGGCAUUAUGUAUUACCUAAUACAUAGCUAAUCUGUAUUAGUCAGGGUUUUCCAGAGAAACAAACACAUACACACAUCCUGAGAGAGAUAAGAGAGAGAGACUCAUAUAGAAGGAGCUCCAAAAUAUUUUUUUUUGUGUGUGUGUGAGACGGUUUCACUCUUGUUGCCCAGGCUUGGAGUGCAAUGGCACGAUGUCGGCUCACUGCAACCUCUGUCUGCCGGGUUCAAACAAUUUUCCUACCUCAGCCUCCCAAGUAGCUGGGAUUACAGGUAUGUGCUACCACGCCUGGAUACUUUUGUAUUUUUAGUAGAGAUGGGGUUUCACCAUGUUGAUCAGGCUGGUCUUGAACUCCUGACCUCAGGUGAUCCACCCACCUCGGCCUCCCAAAGUGCUGGGAUUACAGGUGUGAGCCA
rnacentral:lncRNA from 1 species